rnacentral:lncRNA from 1 species
AAGUAUUGAGUAACUAUGUGUGAGCUUGCUGACUAAAAAGGUGUUGUGUUUGGUGAAACCAGCUGUGUGCUACAGCAUUCCAAAAUGGCA